rnacentral:rRNA from 1 species
UACAGAGGGGGCAAGCGUUGUUCGGAUUCAUUGGGCGUAAAGGGUGUGUAGGUGGCGCCGUAAAGUCGGGUGUGAAAUUUCGGAGCUUAAACUCCGAAACUGCAUUCGAUACUGCGGUGCUUGAGGACUGGAGAGGAGACUGGAAUUCAUGGUGUAGCGUGAAAUGCGUAGAGAUCAUGAGGAAGACCAGUGGCGAAGGCGGGUCUCUGGACAGUUCCUGACACUGAGACACGAAGGCCAGGGGAGCAAACGGG